CGGGGUGAGUAAUGUCUGGGAAACUGCCUGAUGGAGGGGGAUAACUACUGGAAACGGUAGCUAACACCGCAUAACGUCGCAAGACCAAAGAGGGGGACCUUCGGGCCUCAUGCCAUCGGAUGUGCCCAGAUGGGAUUAGCUAGUAGGUGGGGUAACGGCUCACCUAGGCGACGAUCCCUAGCUGGUCUGAGAGGAUGACCAGCCACACUGGAACUGAGACACGGUCCAG
rnacentral:rRNA from 1 species